rnacentral:rRNA from 1 species
CCUACGGGAGGCAGCAGUGGGGAAUAUUGGGCAAUGGGCGCAAGCCUGACCCAGCAACGCCGCGUGAAGGAAGAAGGCCCUCGGGUUGUAAAGUUCUUUUGUCAGGGACGAAGAAAGUGACGUUACCUGACUAAUAAGCCACGGCUAACUACGUGCCAGCAGCCGCGGUAAUACGUAGGUGGCAAGCGUUAUCCGGAUUUACUGGGUGUAAAGGGCGGGUAGGCGGGACUGCAAGUCAGAUGUGAAAUUCCAGGGCUCAACCCUGGAACUGCAUUUGAAACUGUAGUUCUUGAGUGAUGGAGAGGGAGGUGGAAUUCCGGGUGUAGCGGUGAAAUGCGUAGAUAUACGGAGGAACACCAGUGGCGAAGGCGGCCUGCUGGACAUUAACUGACGCUGAGGCGCGAAAGCGUGGGGAGCAAACAGGAUUAGAUACCCCUGUAGUC